rnacentral:rRNA from 1 species
UACGUAGGGUCCGAGCGUUGUCCGGAAUUACUGGGCGUAAAGAGCUCGUAGGUGGUUUGUCGCGUUGUUCGUGAAAACUCACAGCUCAACUGUGGGCGUGCGGGCGAUACGGGCAGACUAGAGUACUGCAGGGGAGACUGGAAUUCCUGGUGUAGCGGUGGAAUGCGCAGAUAUCAGGAGGAACACCGGUGGCGAAGGCGGGUCUCUGGGCCUUACCUGACGCUGAGGAGCGAAAGCGUGGGGAGCAAACAGG